UACGUAGGACCCAAGCGUUGUCCGGAAUCACUGGGUAUAAAGGGUGCGUAGGCGGCCAUGUGCGUCAGAGGUGAAAUAUCCGGGCUUAACCCGGAGGGUGCCUUUGAUACGGCAUGGCUUGAGUGCAGGAGAGGAUGAUGGAAUUUCUGGUGUAGCGGUGAAAUGCGUAGAUAUCAGAAGGAACACCGGUGGCGAAGGCGGUCAUCUGGCCUGCAACUGACGCUGAGGCACGAAAGCGCGGGGAUCAAACAGG
rnacentral:rRNA from 1 species